AAGAGCUUACUUCAUAGGAUCAUUUCUAUAGUAAACUUCACUAAUAGGACUCACAUCAUAUGUGAGACCUAUCCCGUCAUGUUAAGAGAUAUGGCGCGGUGCUCUGAGCGUGAGACGGACGGUGACCUCUAAGGUCAUCAGUUUUCGAUGAUCGUUCACUUGACCCCGCGGGGGUCGGACGUGAGAUGCUGUCGCUAUCUCAUUGGC